UACGUAGGGGGCAAGCGUUGUCCGGAUUUAUUGGGCGUAAAGAGCGUGUAGGCGGUUAGGUAGGUCCGUUGUGAAAACUCGAGGCUUAACCUCGAGAUGUCAUCGGAAACCAUCUGGCUAGAGUCCGGAAGAGGAGAGUGGAAUUCCUGGUGUAGCGGUGAAAUGCGCAGAUAUCAGGAGGAACACCGGUGGCGAAGGCGGAUCUCUGGGCCUUACCUGACGCUGAGGCGCGAAAGCUAGGGGAGCGAACAGG
rnacentral:rRNA from 1 species